CAGUAGCCACGGUAAUACGAAGGGUGCAAGCGUUACUCGGAAUUACUGGGCGUAAAGCGUGCGUAGGUGGUGGUUUAAGUCCGUUGUGAAAGCCCUGGGCUCAACCUGGGAAUUGCAGUGGAUACUGGGUCACUAGAGUGUGGUAGAGGAUAGUGGAAUUUCCGGUGUAGCAGUGAAAUGCGUAGAGAUCUGGAGGAAUACCGGUGGCGAAGGCGGCCCCCUGGACGAAGACUGACGCUCAGGUACGAAAGCGUGGGGAGCAAACAGGAUUAGAUACCCCGGUAGUCCCUGUCUCUUAUAA
rnacentral:rRNA from 1 species